GCAGUAAGGAAUAUUGGUCAAUGGAGGCAACUCUGAACCAGCCAUGCCGCGUGCAGGAAGACAGCCCUCUGGGUCGUAAACUGCUUUUAUUCGGGAAUAAACCUAGAUACGUGUAUUUAGCUGAAUGUACCGAAGGAAUAAGGAUCGGCUAACUCCGUGCCAGCAGCCGCGGUAAUACGGAGGAUCCAAGCGUUAUCCGGAUUUAUUGGGUUUAAAGGGUGCGUAGGCGGCUUAUUAAGUCAGGGGUGAAAGACGGUGGCUCAACCAUCGCAGUGCCUUUGAUACUGAUGAGCUUGAAUGAACUAGAGGUAGGCGGAAUGUGACAAGUAGCGGUGAAAUGCAUAGAUAUGUCACAGAACACCGAUUGCGAAGGCAGCUUACUAUGGUUUUAUUGACGCUGAGGCACGAAAGCGUGGGGAUCAAACAGGAUUAGA
rnacentral:rRNA from 1 species